AGAGUUUGAUCAUGGCUCAGAAUCAACGCUGGCGGCGCGCUUAACACAUGCAAGUCGAACGAGAAAGGGUAGCAAUACCUGAGUAAAGUGGCGUACGGGUGAGUAACACGUGGAUGAUCUACCUCUUGGCGGGGAAUACCUCUGGGAAACCGGAGACAAUACCGCAUAAGCUCGAGAGAGGAAACCCGCAAGGGGCCGAGAGAGGAGUCCGCGGCCGAUUAGCUAGUUGGUGAGGUAAAGGCCCACCAAGGCGAAGAUCGGUAGCCGGCCUGAGAGGGCACACGGCCACACUGGCACUGAGACACGGGCCAGACUCCUACGGGAGGCAGCAGUGGGGAAUCUUGCACAAUGGGGGCAACCCUGAUGCAGCGACGCCGCGUGAGCGAUGAAGCCCUUCGGGGUGUAAAGCUCUUUCGACGGGAACGAUAAUGACGGUACCCGGAGAAGAAGCUGCGGCUAACUACGUGCCAGCAGCCGCGGUAAUACGUAGGCAGCAAGCGUUGUUCGGAGUUACUGGGCGUAAAGAGUGCGUAGGCGGUGCCCUAAGUCUGUUGUGAAAUCUCCCGGCUUAACUGGGAGGGUGCGGUGGAAACUGGGGUGCUUGAGAGUGGGAGAGGUUAGCGGAAUUCCUGGCGUAGCGGUGAAAUGCGUAGAUAUCAGGAGGAACACCGGUGGUGUAGACGGCUGACUGGACCACGACUGACGCUGAGGCACGAAAGCGUGGGUAGCAAACAGGAUUAGAUACCCUAGUAGUCC
rnacentral:rRNA from 1 species